GUCUUAAAGAUAUGUUUAAAAAAAUAAACUUUGAUGUAGUAUUUCUUAUUAAAAUAAAAGAGGAUUAAGAUGUAUUGGGAUAUUAUUUUAAUCACAGAAUCAAUAAUACAAUCUUAAUUAAAUUAUGGUAGAAUUAAGACGUAUUUAAACCCUCAUUUAGUUACAUAUAUACAUUCGAGACUAAAAAUAUCUAAUAAAUAAAUUGCAAUGUCUUACAUUGGGGAAGAUUCAUUUGAAAAGAAAUUUAAUGUGAGAAGAAAAAGAAGAAAUGACAUAUUAGUAAAAUAGUAUUUCAUUUAUAACUCUUUAAUUAAUUAGUCAACUAAUCAUUAAUUAUCCUACAUAUAAUCUACAAAACCUACACAUAUCAAAAUAUUCCUACAUAUACCCUAUAGAUUAUAGAAUUUUGUACUACACAGUCGAAAUUUAUCCUACACACCUCGAAAUAUAUCCUACACAACUCGUAAUUUAUCCUACACAAAUAGUAAUUUAUUCUACACUUUAAAUUAGGUUGUUUUUUUAAUUUGGAAAAAGUAUAUAUAUUUUGCAAAUGAAUUACAAAUUUAAUUUAGUUAGUUAUUAAAGGGGAAGAAUACAAAUUAAUGAUUUUUGUAAGUUACCAAUAUACCCUUGUAUUAAAAUUAAAUGCAAAUAUUAAAUGAAGUAAAAUGAAGCAUUCUUAUUGGUUAAAACUUUUUUCUUUUUUCUUCUUACAAAAAAUUAUUCUCAUAUGAACCCUUCAUUAUAUUAUAAACCUUUUUUAAACAAUGAAGAUAAACAUUCUUUAAAUUAUUUAUACAUGAGGAUCUUAGUCUGAAAAGAAAGUUAUCCACUUAAUCAAUCACAACCGCUAAUAAAGUUUAGAAAUGUUAAUC
rnacentral:lncRNA from 1 species